AUGUGCGAUGGGGUAUACUUCGCCGCCAAGAAACUGAAGCCCUACUUCCAAGAGCACCCCAUCACGGUCGUGUGCACCGCCCCGCUCGCCAAGAUCAUAGGCAGCCGGGAUGCAUCCGGCUGGGUGGCUAAAUGGGCCAUCGCACUGGCGCCCUACACGAUCUUCUACCAACCCCGCACCGCCAUCAAGUCCCAAGCGUUGGCCGACUUCCCCGUCGACUGGGCCGAGACCCAGUACCUACCGCCGGCUCCCGACUCCACCCAUUGGCGGAUGCACUUUGACGGGUCCAAGAUGCGCACCGGCUUGGGAGCCGGCAUCGUCCUCACCUCUCCCAAAGGCGACAAGCUCAAGUACACACUGCAGAUCCACUUCGCCGCCUCCAACAACGUGGCCGAGUACGAGGCGCCCGUACAUGGGCUCCAGCUAGCCAAAGAGCUCGGCAUACGCCGGAUCCUGUGUUACGGCGACUCAGACUUGGUGGUCCAGCAGUCGUCUGGCGACUGGGACGCCAAGGACGCGAACAUGGCGAGCUAUCGAUUCCUCGUCCAGCAGAUCAGCGGAUACUUCGAAGGGUGCGAGUUCCUUCACGUGCCAAGGGCCGACAACGACCAAGCAGAUGCCCUAGCACGGAUCGGCUCCACCCGACAAGCCAUACCGACUGGCGUCUCCCUCCAGCGCCUCCUCAAGCCGUCCAUCAAGCCGUCUCCAGAGUCGGACUCUAUCUUCGUACCACCUGCGCCAGAUGCAGCCGGAUCCGACUGGAGAAACCCCGCAGGCGGCACGGGGACUUCAACAACUGGCCCGGGAACUGCCGUAGUCGCACCCGGCCCGGAGACUUCAGAGCCCGGCCCGGGGACUGCAGUAGUCGGCCCGGGGACUACAACGACACAAGAAGCGAUGGCCGACUCCAAUUCCGCGCCACCCAACCCACCCACCCGAGUCAUGGUGGCUACACUAACAGAAGAAGAAGUCACAGCUCCGUCAUGGGCCCAGCCCAUCCUCAAGUUCCUAGUCAGCAGAGAGCUGCCGGCUGAUGAGAUCUCAGCAAGACUAGUGAAACGACGAGCCGCAUCAUAUGCAAUAAUCAACAGAGAGCUUGUGAAGCGCAGCAUCACUAGAGUCUUCCAGCGUUGUGUCGAGCCAGCAAAAGGAGUGGCAAUCCUCAAGGAUAUCCACCAAGGCGAAUGCGGCCACCACGCAGCCUCAAGAUCACUUGUGGCCAAGGCUUUCCGCCAUGGUUUCUUCUGGCCGACUGCCUUGGAGGAUGCUAAAGAAAUAGUCAAGAGCUGCAGAGGAUGCCAAGUUUUUAGUUCCAAGCAACACCUGCCAGCUUCUGCACUUAAGACCAUUCCCCUCACCUGGCCUUUUGCCGUCUGGGGAUUGGACAUGGUGGGCCCUUUCAAGACAGCCCGCGGCGGCUUGACGCAUCUACUUGUCGCUGUGGACAAGUUCACAAAGUGGAUCGAAGCAAAGCCGAUUAAGAAGCUGAAUGGGCCGACUGCCGUGACAUUCAUCACUGACAUCACUACUCGGUACAGCGUGCCGCACAGCAUCAUCACCGACAACGGCACGAACUUCGCCAAAGGACAACUGGCACGUUUCUGCGCGACGCAGGGCAUCCGACUGGACUUAGCGUCCGUUGCCCACCCGCAGUCAAACGGCCAGGUCGAGCGAGCAAAUGGACUCAUCCUCUCCGGCAUCAAGCCCCGACUGGUUGUACCACUGGAGCGAUCGGCCGGCUGCUGGCUCGAUGAGCUGCCGGCUGUCCUCUGGAGUCUGCGCACUACACCCAACAAGUCUACUGGCUUUACUCCAUUUUUCCUCGUGUACGGUGCCGAGGCUGUCAUCCCAACAGACAUCGAGUUCGACUCGCCUCGGAUCACCAUGUACACGGAGGAGGAGGCCAAGGAAGCAAGAGAAGACGGCAUCGACCUACUGGAAGAAGGCCGGCUGUUAGCACUCAGCCGGUCCGCCAUCUACCAGCAAGGGCUGCGCCGCUACUACAACCGCAAGGUCAAGCCAAGAUCCUUCCAAGAGGGCGACCUUGUGCUCCGACUGAUCUAG
rnacentral:rRNA from 1 species